rnacentral:lncRNA from 1 species
UGGAGAAAAAACAAGGCUUAAUUAGAAAUAGUUGGAAGAUUGUGGCAAUAAAGGGUCUUAUAUUCUGUUAGAGAUAGUUUAUGUGAAUAUUUUUUAUCUGACAAGAAUCAUAUACCUACAGAGAAUAUUUUUAAAAUAAAUAUCAACAAUAUUGUGAUGAAACUAGUAGUGUACAUAAUUUUUGUAUGCAUGAAAUUGAAAAUAUGUAUGGUGUGUACUGUUCAGAUCAACCAAAUGGAUUUAUGGAGAAUUAAUAGACCAUGGAUCAACAGAAUCAUUUGGAAGAAUGUUGCAAAAAGGUCCUAUAUUCUGUGUCUGAGAUACAUUAUAUAUUUUUCUUCUUCUGGCAAUGCUGUACACAGAUUAUUUUAAAAAUAAAUAUAUCAAAUAAAUUUUAGGUAGUUUCUUAUUGCUACUUUCAAUGUUAAUAAUAUAAUGUAUAUGCCUUUUGUUACGUCUAGCAAAUCAAAAUACUGAGAGGCUUAAUUUUAGUUCCACACACAACCAAUUUAUACGCAACUUGCAACAAAUUAAUAUUGCCUCUUAAUUGUUUUGUUAUGUCCACCUUUACCAGUCUGUUUCUAUUCGUUCUGUAUGUAAUUUCUUUCUUUUAACUAUUAUAUUUUGUGUUAUAUAUGACUUAUAUUUAGUAUACUAAAUUGUUCCAAAAUUUGUAAAAAAUUGUAACUGUAUUGGACUUGUCCUGUGGAAAUAAAAAAAAAACAAAAAAUUGUGAUAA